AUUGAACGCUGGCGGCAUGCCUUACACAUGCAAGUCGAACGGCAGCACGGGAGCAAUCCUGGUGGCGAGUGGCGAACGGGUGAGUAAAGUAUCGGAACGUGCCCAGUCGUGGGGGAUAACGUAGCGAAAGUUACGCUAAUACCGCAUACGAUCUAUGGAUGAAAGCGGGGGAUCGCAAGACCUCGCGCGAUUGGAGCGGCCGAUAUCAGAUUAGGUAGUUGGUGGGGUAAAGGCUCACCAAGCCGACGAUCUGUAGCUGGUCUGAGAGGACGACCAGCCAGACUGGGACUGAGAAACGGCCCAGACUCCUACGGGAGGCAGCAGUGGGGAAUUUUGGACAAUGGGCGCAAGCCUGAUCCAGCCAUGCCGCGUGCAGGAUGAAGGCCUUCGGGUUGUAAACUGCUUUUGUACGGAACGAAAAGGUUUGACUUAAUACGUUGGACUCAUGACGGUACCGUAAGAAUAAGCACCGGCUAACUACGUGCCAGCAGCCGCGGUAA
rnacentral:rRNA from 1 species